rnacentral:lncRNA from 1 species
AAUGCAGGAGAAGGGCCCCGUUACCAGAAGACAAGGAGGAAAAGGUAAAUGACAAUGACGGGCUGUUUGGAGCUCCGUGGGGAAUCCGAUGGCACAGCGCCUGUUCAUGUGGUGGCAUAGUAGGGUUCCUGCAAAACAGGAAGGUGGAAGUGGGAGAAUGACCUAAACUCAUUCACACUACAGAAAACUGGAGGCUGUGGCGUUAAGAAGGCAACAGGAAGAGAGAAGGAAAGAAAGGAUGCUCAGUAGGAGACUGUUCAACCUGGGCCAAGGUGAUGGCAGACAAAUGGACAAAACCAAGGCACACACACGUACUUCCAGCAAGAUUACAAACAUUCCUGUGAGAACAAGAAAGGAGAGCUGCUACAUGCAGUUCAGGGAGGAGGAAGAUCCCUUUCACCCUUGGCAUCUGCACAGUCAGUAUUUUCACAUUAUCUAAAGAAAGCCAGAGAGUGGGUCAUCGGGAAGGAAGUGAAAUGGAGAAGGGGCAGGAAAAGAGAAAGAGCAGCAAAGCAACUUUACAGAAGCCAGAAUCUGAAGACUUGCCUUCAAGUAAUACUCAAGACAUCUUGCCACCUUCUUGAACUUCACUGGGGUGUUUAUGUGCUGCUACAUAAAAAACGGUAGCUGUAUUUAAAGCUGCUACAUUUUUCCAUUGUCUAAAGGAAAUCCUCUUUGUUUGCCUUGGUGCUUUCUGCUCCAGCUGAGACAUCACACACCGUGGUUGAACUCUGCCUACAACAUUAGGCUAGACCUUCUGAUGAGGAAAACACGAGAUUAUUCUAGUCCUCAUAAACUGUUGAAUUGGGGAACAUCAGGAAAGGAGCCAGCUGAGGUGUCCUAGAUGCAGCUGGGUUUGUUGCUGUCUGUAUGGCCCAUGCCAGGCAUGGGCUCAUCUCGGCUAUAUCGCAAAAUAAGCCAGGACAUUUUCACAAUUUGAGGACCUAAGAGGGAGGACUAGAGAGAUUCCAGGAAACCGGUUACAAUAAGACAGAAAACACCUCCUCAGGGCCUUGAAUAAGUGUUUUUGUUUGAUCCACACUGGAUUUUCAUUAAGAAACGACUAGAGAAUUUUAAACAUUCUCUUUAGAAUGAUUAAAUA